rnacentral:lncRNA from 1 species
AGUUUGCCAGUGCGCAAGUCCUGGUUUCUGUAUUGUAUUUUGAAUAUUUUCAAACCUAUAACUGAAUAGAGAGAAAGCAGGUACUCAUUUGGCAUUUGGGUCUUCCUUACCUGCUAACUGCUGAUCCGAAUUAUGUACUGUAGAUGGAAGAAUGCAUUAUUAAACAUACCUGCUACUGAUCCAGGGUCUCUUUGUUCGAGUUUGAAUCUACUAUGGAUCUCGGCACACCUGUGACGACGACGACAGUAUAUAUGUACAUAGUGAAGAGACGGGUGUGUUGUUGGAUGUGUCACGUGUGGGAGUAGAAAACCCGACAGCCCGUAUCAGAAUUGCAGGCAAGUAAACCGGGUAUGGCAAGCAGAUAGGUUAUUGGCGGUCCUCCUCAAAUGGCCAGCAGUAAGAGUUGGUCCAGGGUUUUCUGGCUCUGGUACUCUACAGUCGAGAGAUUGUGUGGACCUGGUCAUUACUGAUGAGUGGGCAACCCACACUAAACCUCGUGAAGUUAGCAAUACUUGGUGAGACAGCGACAGCGACAAACAAGACGACAUCAGAACCGUCUACUUGCUCUGGCUCUUUCUCCUGGUAUCAGGACUGUAAAUCCGGGAUUUUAUUCGCCCGGUAUCGAGGUUUAUAGUGUGUCCUCACAGUACACACCGUCCUCGGGUCUAUAUGUAGAGGUGAAUUAUGUCCAAGUGUCGGGUUCUGAGACGUUUGCAUAUCUUCGAGCAAGGUUCUCUUGUGUGCUGGCGCUAAAGUCCAAGAUCCUUCUCAAGUUGGACCCGAGAGAGAGCUGAUCCGGAGGAAAUGUACAGGAAUUCAAGAUAUUUUCAGUCUGUCACCUAAACCGAGUCCGAAAGACCGGGAACCAGCCAUUCUUAUUUGACUGGUCCAUUUAUAGUACAAGUUAUAUAUCGCGUAGACAUUAAAGUCAUAGCCGUAUACAUAUUAACGUCGUGUGGAAAGCCGUCUUAUCUUACCCGUUUCGUUGGGUUAUUAACCGACUGUCUGAUGGCCAAUUAAAUUUAUCGGGAAGCACUGAGUAAGAGUAUAUACGCGUUUUACCUGGGCUGCAUUAUCUUUGAGUUUAUGUUGGGACUCAGCAUUCUGAUGGCCUUGCUCGGGACAGAAUGACAGCUGGCAUCUUAUUAUAUGAGUUGCGAUCAAGAAUUAUGUCCGUCGAUUAUCUCUCGCGACUAUAUUUAACGAACCUACAUAUGUACAUAUUAUUAUAAUUAUAAUUAUAAAUAGAAGGCGUUUUGUACAUAAACAUCUCGAGCUGUCUUGAUUAUAAAUAAAAUAAUAAUUCGCGUGAAUAUUUAAUCAACCAGUACCAGCAUAUUUGAUAUUGUUUCCAUAAAAUGCAUCCCCCGAGACGAUGUUCGCUAUAGAGAGCAUUAAAAUCACAGAACGAGUGCGUGACUUGAGACAGUGUGCGGAAAUUCGCAACAAACCUUUGAUCGGGCUUGUAGCAAUCGAGGUAAUCGGAUAGCUGCUCAACAACCUCUCCAGAGGAAUGCCGGAAACUAAAAAAACAAAGACCGACCGAAAACACUCAAGUAGAAUACAUUAUUACUCAAUAUCGCCUAAAAAAUAAUCCAUGUGUAGUCUGUACAGUCUGAAGAAUAUAAAGGGAUCUCACAUCUGCAGAGAUGUUUAUUCGGGGAGAGACCGGCGUCAAUAGUGGAGUCCGUUGGUAUACCCGUACCGGCUGAAAAAAUAAAAUACGGUGAAUUUUAAAUAAAACUUGAUGAACGAAUAAUUAUCGUCUUAAUGUUAAUCCACCGAUAAGAUAGGACACAUAUUAUAUGAAUAUAUAUUUAUAUAUAUGAAGGCAUAUACGCACUUAAGGCUCGAGAAUUCACGACAGACAUCAAUAGCCUCAAUAAAUAAAGUAGAUUCGAUUCAAUUUUCAUAAAUAAGAGGGCAUUCAAAUGAGAAGGAAUGAUGAGGAUGUGCCGGCGGUCGCGAUAGUGGAGGCGGGGAUUCUUCUUGGAUUAUUGCGAUUGCAGAUGAAUAAGGAAAGAAGAAAAAGAAGAGGAGGUGGAUGUAGCAAAAGAUAUUUUGCUAUCUUUAUCGGUGAGUUAAAUGCUGAAUAGUCACUGGUGCUGUGUGACUGUUUGGUUGUCUGAGGCAUGGCAAGUUUUGGGUGCAGGCUAGCCAGCAAGUGAUCUAAGCGAUGCGACAGCGGGGAGUAAGCUGGAUAUAUUACCGCCCGAGAGCUUGCUGUUUUCAACCAAUUAUUUCUACUUGUGGUUGCAUGAUGGCCCGGGCUGGGUCGGGGGCGGCAUGUCGUACGAGAAAGAGGCGAGUUAAUGCCAUAAAUACAUCACCGUUAUGGAUGCCAGCAAUUAUAUGAGACUCGAACGAGUGGACGA